rnacentral:rRNA from 1 species
UGGGGAAUUUUGGACAAUGGGGGAAACCCUGAUCCAGCCAUCCCGCGUGUGCGAUGAAGGCCUUCGGGUUGUAAAGCACUUUUGGCAGGAAAGAAACGUCAUGGGUUAAUACCCCGUGAAACUGACGGUACCUGCAGAAUAAUCACCGGCUAACUACGUGCCAGCAGCCGCGGUAAUACGUAGGGUGCAAGCGUUAAUCGGAAUUACUGGGCGUAAAGCGUGCGCAGGCGGUUCGGAAAGAAAGAUGUGAAAUCCCAGAGCUCAACUUUGGAACUGCAUUUUUAACUACCGGGCUAGAGUGUGUCAGAGGGAGGUGGAAUUCCGCGUGUAGCAGUGAAAUGCGUAGAUAUGCGGAGGAACACCGAUGGCGAAGGCAGCCUCCUGGGAUAACACUGACGCUCAUGCACGAAAGCGUGGGGAGCAAACAGG